rnacentral:ncRNA from 1 species
UACUAGGGGUGUCCCGCCGCGGCGGGGCUGAGAACAUACCCUUGAACCUGAUACGGAUCAUACCGGCGUAGGAAAUGAAAAAA